UACGGAGGAUGCGAGCGUUAUCCGGAUUUAUUGGGUUUAAAGGGUGCGUAGGCUGAAUAUCAAGUCAGCGGUGAAACGUUACAGCUUAACUGUGACCGUGCCGUUGAAACUGUUAUUCUGGAGUGCGAGCGAGGUAGGCGGAAUGUGCCGUGUAGCGGUGAAAUGCAUAGAUAUGGCACGGAACUCCGAUUGCGAAGGCAGCUUACCAGUACGCUACUGACGCUGAGGCACGAAAGCGUGGGUAUCGAACAGG
rnacentral:rRNA from 1 species